GUACUAUCCUUCAACAUACUUUUGAGUGAAUAACAGUGGUAUACAUCUUUUCAGACACACUGUUUAGGGCAGAAGUGGUUGAGACGCGAGUCAUGAACUGGUGCUGUGGUGGGACGGAGACGCUGAGGCAGAACAACACAAAGACUCAAAGCUUCAGAACCACAAGAGUCCAAACAGGACAAACGUCAAGACCCAAAAUCCAGUCACCAAAACAGCUGCAGCAGAGGGAACGAGUCGUCUGCUGAAAACACUGUGCAUGAUGAAAGGGUGUUUGAUCAGCUUCCUGUCCCGGAGACAAACAUCAUCGUCUUUGUUCAGUUCACUCCCAGUUACAGAUUGUCUGCAGUAGACUGGCUCAGCUCGACCACCAGCAGGAGCUCCAGGUUCUGAACUCAGUUUUCUUUGUGGUCAAAUUGUGUAAUUACAUCGUCGCUGAUGCACUGAGGCCCAAAACACUUUUCCUCAGAAGCUGAUGUUGUGAAAGAAGCAUCUGUAAAACAGCUGAUACAUUUGUUGGGCAUCACAACCUCUGAGACAUGAUGUUCUUUAUCAAGAGGAAGUUGAACUGCAUCAGCUUCACAGUGUCACUCAGCUGCUUUCACAGGGGCUCAACGGGGCUCCGCCUCCAACAGGUGUCCAGCUUUAAUACUGCUACCUAAACCCUGAUCCACACCUUCAUCACUUCCACAACUGACUACUGCAACAGCAUCAUCUAUUGCACACCAUCCAAACUCCUCAAUGAAGUCCAGUGCUUCCAGUACUCUGCUCGUGACCACAUCACCUCGUCCUCCAGGAGCUCCACUGGAUCCCCAUCCCUCAACAGAUUCAAUGCACAAUACUCCUCCUCACUCAUACACAGAGAUGUUCCAAUACCAUUUUUUCCCUCCCAAAACUGAUUCCGACACUUGUGCUGUGGGUAUCAGCCGAUACCAAGUACCGAUACCAGUGAGUUAUAAAAUGUAUAUAUAUCUCAUACUACGCCUGCAUGACUGUGAUAUGAUUAUCAUGGUGGUAAACCCUUUG